rnacentral:rRNA from 1 species
GAUUAGGUAGUAACAACCAUUUGAGUCUGGGAUUUCUGAAUGGGGAAACCCACUUACAUAAGUAAGUAUCAUUAACUGAAUACAUAGGUUAAUGAGGCGAACCGGGGGAACUGAAACAUCUAAGUACCCCGAGGAAAAGAAAUCAACCGAGAUUCCGAAAGUAGCGGCGAGCGAAAUUGGACUAGCCCUUAAGCUUUACACGCGUUAGACGAACGGUCUGGAAAGUCCGACGAUACAGGGUGAUAGUCCCGUAGUUGACGACGUGUGUUCAGUGAAAUCGAGUAGGGCGGGACACGUGAUAUCCUGUCUGAAUAUGGGGGGACCAUCCUCCAAGGCUAAAUACUACUGACUGACCGAUAGUGAACCAGUACCGUGAGGGAAAGGCGAAAAGAACCCCUGUGAGGGGAGUGAAAUAGAACCUGAAACCGUGUACGUACAAGCAGUAGGAGCAGGCUUGUCCUGUGACUGCGUACCUUUUGUAUAAUGGGUCAGCGACUUAUAUUCAGUGGCAAGGUUAACCAUCUAGGGGAGCCGUAGGGAAACCGAGUCUUAACUGGGCGUUCAGUCUCUGGAUAUAGACCCGAAACCAGGUGAUCUAGCCAUGGGCAGGUUGAAGGUUGAGUAACAUCAACUGGAGGACCGAACCGACU